rnacentral:rRNA from 1 species
CACGUAGGGCGCAAGCGUUGUCCGGAAUUAUUGGGCGUAAAGAGCGCGCAGGCGGCUUGGUAAGUCGGAUGUGAAAUCCCGAGGCUCAACCUCGGGUCUGCAUCCGAUACUGCCCGGCUAGAGGUAGGUAGGGGAGAUCGGAAUUCCUGGUGUAGCGGUGAAAUGCGCAGAUAUCAGGAGGAACACCGGUGGCGAAGGCGGGUCUCUGGGCCGAUAUUGACGCUGAGGAGCGAAAGCGUGGGGAGCAAACAGG